CUUGGUCAUUUAGAGGAAGUAAAAGUCGUAACAAGGUUUCCGUUGGUGAACCAGCGGAAGGAUCAUUACAGAGAUCAUGCCCUCGCGGGUAGACCUCCCACCCUGUGUUAUUUACUCUUGUUGCCUUGGCAGGCCGCCCUCGGGCUCUCGGCUUCGGCUGAGGUGCGCCUGCCACAGGACCCCAACUCGUUGUUUUAGUGUCGUCUGAGAACUAUAAAAUAAGUUAAAACUUUCAACAACGGAUCUCUUGGCUCUGGCAUCGAUGAAGAACGCAGCGAAAUGCGAUAAGUAAUGUGAAUUGCAGAAUUCAGUGAAUCAUCGAAUCUUUGAACGCACAUUGCGCCCCUUGGUAUUCCGGGGGGCAUGCCUGUUCGAGCGUCAUUUCAACCCUCAAGCUAUGCUUGGUCUUGGGCCCUGCCGGCAACGGCUGGCCUUAAAAUCAGUGGCGGUGCCGUCGAGCUCUACGCGUAGUAAUCAAACCCUCGCUUUUGAGCUUCGGCGGUCGCUUGCCAGCAACCCCCAAUCUUCUAUGGUUGACCUCGGAUCAGGUAGGGAUACCCGCUGAACUUAAGCAUAUCAAUAAGCGGAGGAAAAGAAACCAACAGGGAUUACCUCAGUAACGGCGAGUGAAGCGGUAACAGCUCAAAUUUGAAAUCUGGCUCUUUUAGGGUCCGAGUUGUAAUUUGUAGAAGAUGCUUCGGGUGUGGCUCCGGUCUAAGUUCCUUGGAACAGGACGUCAUAGAGGGUGAGAAUCCCGUAUGUGACUGGCUGCCUCUGCCCAUGUGAAGCUCUUUCGACGAGUCGAGUUGUUUGGGAAUGCAGCUCAAAAUGGGUGGUAAAUUUCAUCUAAAGCUAAAUAUUGGCCAGAGACCGAUAGCGCACAAGUAGAGUGAUCGAAAGAUGAAAAGCACUUUGGAAAGAGAGUUAAACAGUACGUGAAAUUGUUGAAAGGGAAGCGCUUGCAACCAGACUUGGACGCUGCCGAUCAUCUGGUGUUCUCACCAGUGCACUCGGUUGCGUCCAGGCCAGCAUCGGUUUGGGUGGCUGGAUAAAGGCCUUGGGAAUGUAGCUUCUUUCGGGGAGUGUUAUAGCCCUCGGUGCAAUGCAGCCUACCCGGACCGAGGACCGCGCUUCGGCUAGGAUGCUGGCGUAAUGGUUGUAAGCGACCCGUCUUGAAACACGGACC
rnacentral:rRNA from 1 species